rnacentral:sRNA from 1 species
GCUGGGCGUGGUGGUGCAUGCCUGUAAUCCCAGCAGCUUGGGAGGCUGAGGCAGGAGAAUCACGAGUUCAAAGCCAGCCUCAGCAAAAGCGAGGUGCUAAGCAACUCCGUGAGACCCUGUCUCUA